rnacentral:rRNA from 1 species
GACGAACGCUGGCGGCGUGCUUAACACAUGCAAGUCGAACGGAAAGGCCCUGCUUUUGUGGGGUGCUCGAGUGGCGAACGGGUGAGUAACACGUGAGUAACCUGCCCUUGACUUUGGGAUAACUUCAGGAAACUGGGGCUAAUACCGGAUAGGAGCUCCUGCUGCAUGGUGGGGGUUGGAAAGUGUCGGCGGUUGGGGAUGGACUCGCGGCUUAUCAGCUUGUUGGUGGGGUAGUGGCUUACCAAGGCUUUGACGGGUAGCCGGCCUGAGAGGGUGACCGGCCACAUUGGGACUGAGAUACGGCCCAGACUCCUACGGGAGGCAGCAGUGGGGAAUCUUGCACAAUGGGCGGAAGCCUGAUGCAGCAACGCCGCGUGCGGGAUGACGGCCUUCGGGUUGUAAACCGCUUUCGACUGUGACGAAGCGUGCGUGACGGUAAUGGGUAAAGAAGCACCGGCUAACUACGUG